CUCGAAGUCGAAACGAUCGCGCAUUAACAUGCGAGGAAAGUCCGGGCACCAUAGAGACGCGCUCCUGCUAACGGCAGGCUAGAGCAAUCUAAGGGAAAGUGGCACAGAAACAAAACUGCCAAUGUCCGGUUCAGUUAGGGAGGAAAAGAGUGAACCCAAGAUACGCACUAAUUUGUUAUCUCACAUCCAAGGGUAGGCAAUCUGUCCUCUUGGAAUCCACCCAGUCUCAUCUCGCAAGGGAAGAAGCUGUGGAGUGGCUGACGUCCAACUUGGGACUUUGUCCGCCAGAUCUUGAAGACUGGUGGAUAGAGUCAGUAUCCUGACCGUGUCGGGGACUUCGGUCCCCACCCCCUAACUGAAUCGGAACAGGCAAAGGUGAAAAGAGUGAGGUAAGAGCUCACAAUCGCCUCUAGUAAUAGAGCGAGUAGCUAAACCCAGCGUGGUGCAAGUUGAGUGGGCCAAUAUUUAAGUCUUAAGUUCAAAGUUCCCAAAAGGAAUAUAGAGCUCCACUUCGGUCUCGAAGUAUAGAUAUUGGUCUCAACGCAUUAGAUAGAUGAUCGU
rnacentral:RNase_P_RNA from 1 species